rnacentral:rRNA from 1 species
UACGUAGGGGGCAAGCGUUGUCCGGAUUUAUUGGGCGUAAAGAGCGUGUAGGCGGCCAGGUAGGUCCGUUGUGAAAACUGGAGGCUUAACCUCCAGCUGUCGAUGGAAACCAUCUGGCUAGAGUCCGGAAGAGGAGAGUGGAAUUCCUGGUGUAGCGGUGAAAUGCGCAGAUAUCGGGAGGAACACCGGUGGCGAAGGCGGUUCUCUGGGCCUUACCUGACGCUGAGGAGCGAAAGCGUGGGGAGCGAACAGG